AACAAUUUCCUGUAAAAUACAGUAAUAGCGAGCAGUGUGAGCACGCUUUGAUAGCAUCAUAAAACUGAGCACAGUGUACAGACAGUAGUGGCGAUGUGAUUCUUACAUAGCAGACAAUGAUGCGCCCAGAUAAUGCAUUGGUUUCAUUUUGUCUUGAGAAGGGACAAGCCUGGAGCGACAGAGUUUAACUCUGGUUUAAUGUACAGAACAGUGUGAAGAGUGUUUUGCACGUCACGUAUAUCUAUUUAUUCAACAUUUUUAAAGACGUCUUCCACAUACACACUGAACAUGUUGUGAUCAACGUCACACCACUGAACUGUAUACAC